AUCUUCUUCCUUCUUCUUCAUCGUGUGUUUCAGUCGCCCGUCCUCUGUUUUCUUUCUUCUUCUUCUCGAUCAACUGCACUGUCGCCCACGCACUCCCUAUCUCCCGUCGUUAGCCAAGUUGUCGCGUACCCAUCUGCUUCCUUGCAAGUCCGAUAGCCGCGCGUCAUGGAGCGCAAACCGUCUCAGCCAGAUUUGUGUUCGUCCACGAAGCAUCACCACCAUGGUCUUCGUCCGUCAUUUGUGAAGUGCCAGCCGCCAGUUGUCUGUCGCGAACCUGAGCCUGAUCUGAGCCGAAUACUUCAAAUUCAAGUCGCAUGCGACCCUUGACUUCCUGUCAUGAGUGCAAGCUGGUGGUCACUUCUUCAAGUAAGCCAUCUGUAUCUGCUUUGCACUCCGUCAUUCAACUAAAUUCGUUCGUCGCUGUCUCUUUUUCGCUGUGACUUGAAGUGGGUUUUGUUGGUAAGAUUGAAGUGGUGGGUUUUGUAGUUGUUUCACAAUUAUUUUAAGUGUUAUUGUUGAAUUAUUUGUUUGGGUUGUCAUUGGCUCCUUGAAGGCGAUAUAGGAGAAUUUGUGCUCCAAUCAUUGAGUUUCACAACAAACUUUAUUGGAAGUUUAUUCUUCAUUUAUGUGGGUAAGUUAGGAAUUCACUUUUGGAUGAAUUGAG
rnacentral:lncRNA from 1 species